AACGAACGCUGGCGGCAUGCCUAACAAAUGCAAGUCGAACGAGAUCUUCGGGUCUAGUGGCGCACGGGUGCGGAACGCGUGGGAAUCUGCCCUUUGGUUCGGAAUAACAGUUGGAAACGACUGCUAAUACCGGAUGAUGACGAAAGUCCAAAGAUUUAUCGCCAGAGGAUGAGCCCGCGUAGGAAUAGCUAGUUGGGGUGGUAAAGGCGCACCAAGGCGACGAGCCUUAGCUGGUCUGAGAGGAUGAUCAGCCACACUGGGACUGAGACACGGCCCAGACUCCUACGGGAGGCAGCAGUGGGGAAUAUUGAACAAUGGGCGAAAGCCUGAUCCAGCAAUGCCGCGUGAGUGAUGAAGGCCUUAGGGUUGUAAAGCUCUUUUACCCGGGAUGAUAAUGACAGUACCGGGAGAAUAAGCUCCGGCUAACUCCGUGCCAGCAGCCGCCGUAA
rnacentral:rRNA from 1 species